rnacentral:rRNA from 1 species
UGACCGUGCUAAGGUAGCAUAAUCAUUUGCCUUUUAAUUAAAGGCUGGAAUAAACGAGGGGACAGCAUCAAAUCUUUUUUAUUUUAAAAACUGGAAACUAAUAACUGCUUCAAAAAAAGCAGAUUCUUAAARAGACGAUAARACCCUAUAAAACUUUAUUCAAAAAUAAAAGCUUAAUUUUUUCCUGCGCCUUAAAAAUGAAUUGAGUUGGGGCGACAUCUAACCUCUCUUUARAAAAUAUAACRUAAUUUAAUGACCUGAAAGAUCUUAACUUUAAAAAAGUUAAAACAAGUUACUUUAGGGAUAACAGCACAAUUUCCUUUUAUAGUCCUUAUAGAAGAGGAAGACUUGUGACCUCGAUGUUGAAUUGAGGGGCCUUAUUUAAGCAGAAAUUAAUAAAGGGAGUCUGUUCGACUUUUAAACCCUCA